rnacentral:rRNA from 1 species
UACGUAGGUGGCAAGCGUUAUCCGGAAUUAUUGGGUUUAAAGGGUGCGCAGGUUGUUUGAUAAGUCAGUGGUGAAAGUCUGUCGCUUAACGGUAGGAUUGCCAUUGAUACUGUUAGACUUGAAUAUGGAUGAGGUAGGCGGAAUGUGUAGUGUAGCGGUGAAAUGCAUAGAUAUUACACAGAACACCGAUUGCGAAGGCAGCUUACUAAUCCAUCAUUGACGCUGAGGCACGAAAGCGUGGGGAUCAAACAGGA